rnacentral:rRNA from 1 species
ANUGGCGGCCUUAGCGCGGUGGUCCCACCUGACCCCAUGCCGAACUCAGAAGUGAAACGCCGUAGCGCCGAUGGUAGUGUGGGGUCUCCCCAUGCGAGAGUAGGGAACUGCCAGGC